CGUUCGUUGCGCAGAGAAGGACCAGGAAUCGGGGAGACAUGUACAACUGCCGCCCCAUCCGGAGACUCCGGAUGGCGCUUGCUUGACCUCCGGACUUCCGUUGAGGAACAUUUCUGGCUCAAUCCAUCACAAGAAGAGAGAGAAAGAGAAAACAGAAGAACGAGAAAGCCACAAGUCUCUGUUGCAUCUUACGCUUCUUGGAGGGAAAAAAGAAACAAAAAGUUAUUUCCCUCUCUCUUUUGCUCUUUUCAAAUUGACUACACGAGUGAUUUUUGGUCGAUUGAUUUGAUUGAUGAUUGAUGAUUGAUAUGGUGCUCUGAUUUGGAGAUACGACGAUGGCUAACCGAAACGCCGAACAUUCUCAGGGAGAAUGCGGCAGUCCUCCGUCUUCGCCACCUCCCCCUCCGGACGAUCCUUCUGCUGGUUCUCGUGUUGGAAACACGGUUUUCAAGAGUGGACCACUUUUCUUAUCAUCUAAAGGUGUGUUUAUUUGAUUUUUUUUAUUCCUAGAACUUGGGAAAGUUAACU